UUUUUUGGCUGUUGGUAGAUCUACCAUGGUCAGCUUAGUCUGAGAAUUAAUGGUUUAGGGACUUACCUUGUAAUAACUUGCAAAAACACACGUACCCAGCUGCUCUUGCAUUUAUCUGUAAGUUAUUUUUGACAGAAUUAGCUGUUCCUUGCUAUUAAUUUGUGGCGAAAAAAUAUAAGUCUUUGUUUUCUCGUUAUUACUGGGGAUACACUCAUCUUAUUUUGUUUUCUGAACCCCCCCCCCCCCCAAAAAAGGUGCUACAUUGCAUAUUGAACCUAAAUUGCUAUUCCUGUUGCAACAUGAUCCAAAAAUAAAUACUUAUCCUGUAAGCUAUUGACCUUCUGUCAAAAAUGUAUUUUUACCAAAUCUUGAUAAGCAGAUUAAAGAUGAGCUUGUUGGGGGCACUGGUGUCCGGCCAAAGCCAUGAAGUAUGAGCUCAGUCAGAACUAUCUAUCAUCAGAAAUAGAACUAUCUAUCAUCAGAAAUGAAACAUGGAGUACGAAGAGCAGAUCUGAUGCAUGAUGUCAAAUCCAGCCAUCGGUUUUCCAAAGAGCCCAUGAUGGUCGCAAUGAUGGUUUUCCGAAGAACUAUCUAUGCAUGAGGUUUUGUUCUAUUUCCUUGAUGGUCGCAAUAAUGUAAUGUUUCCUCCUGAUAAAUUGUUUUUUCCUCUGAAGUCCGCAAUUAGCUGAACAUGUAUAGGUGUAAUUCAUUUAUUUGUUACUAGCUAUUUUAUGGCUGCAAUUUUGUUUCCUGUCUGCCUUGUAGCCUCUGAAUCUCCUGACUGUUACAAUAACGUCGUCUUCUCACAGGAAACUGUUUGAAAUAAUGAAAGCAUUUGUCUGUCAGCUGAAGAUUCGGCAGUGAGACUUUCACUCGUUUGUUCCUUUCGGAGGCUACUGAAUAUAAAAUUAUCAUGUUUGUCUCUGUACGUUGCGUGGUGCAUUUGUUUUGGUCUUAUAGGCUCUGCACAAAUGCAUAUAAAUUAUAGUUAAAUAAGGGUUUAAGUGUUGUAGAAGGAUAAAGCUAUAAAACAUCAAAGCUAAGAACAAAGUAAAAAAAUGAGUAUUGUUACCCUUUGAUGGUGUUGGAGGCGCAAAUGUGCUACUUGUAAUUAUCGCAAACAACAUUUGCAAGUCAGGAUAAAGAUUCUUGAUCUCAGCUGCCAUACUCGGCAUGCUUCUUUAGGAGCCCCUCCCUCCCUCCAAGUUUUAACUUCAGAGCCUGCAGGAAAUCAUAUCGGCGUUGAAGUGAUCGUUCAUGUCAUAUACCGUAUACAUUCUAAAUUACGCACAUUCAGAGUCGCCCACUCUAUCAACAUCUUUGGCUCAAGGCAUCAGAAUCAACUCCAUCUUUGCUAGGUUUCGCUGGCGCCGCGAGCACAAAGUCAAUUAUUGAUCGCACUUCCAGGAUUCUCAACCCGACAAAGCAUGAAUUCCCUUGUUCCCAACCCUUCCCUUUCUUUCACAGCUGCGAGUUCCAAGAGAAAUCUACAAGAAGCCAACGCUCCUGGAAGGAUCUAAAUCCAGGAAAGCAGAUCUUCAUAAGAGACUGACAGGCAGGUAGAUCCGGUACCAGGAUGCUCAUGUAGACAUCGGGAUCGGAGGGGAGAGGCGAUCGUACGAAGGGCAAGAGGCGCCGGUGCCGGUGGUGUCAGCUGCGGAGCAGGGAUCGAGGGAGUAGAAGGCCGGCGAGACGAUCCCGCGUCCGCUUCGCCGUCUCCCCGAAAGCUCAUCAUCGCCCGUCACCCCCAAAUCGAUGAGGGCUUUAAUGGCCAGGUUCAUCCUCUCUCUCUCUCUCUCUCUCGGCCAAUUUAAUGCGAUUCCAUCGAAUAGUAUUCGUAACCAUCAAAACAGGAGUAGGCGGUUAAUAUCCGUUAUAUCGUCGUGCUUGACCUAAAUGAAUU
rnacentral:lncRNA from 1 species